CCCAGAUUUGAAAUCCGGCGUUCUUUGGGCGCCCGAGUUGUAAUCUGCAGAUGGGUUUUCCGGUGAGGCACACGUCCAAGUUCCCUGGAAUGGGACGCCGCAGAGGGUGAGAGCCCCGUACUGGCGCCGUGCCGAGCCUCUGUGAGGCCCAUUCGACGAGUCGAGUAGUUUGGGAAUGCUGCUCUAAUUGCGAGGUAAAUCUCUCGUAAGGCUAAAUACCGGCCAGAGACCGAUAGCGCACAAGUAGCGUGAGCGAAAGAUGAAAAGAGCCUUGGAUAAGGGCGUCAAAAAGCAUGUGAAAUCGUUAUGGGGGAAGCGCUCGUCGCCAGACGUGGCGGCGGCUGGUUAGCCGGCGUUCUCGCCGGCGCACUCGGACCGCCGCCAGGCCAGCAACAGCUCGGACCGGGGCCCACUGCCGGAGGGAACGUGGCUCCUUUCGGGGAGUGUUAUAGCCCUUCGGCGACGCCCUGGACCGGGCUGAGGACCGCGCCUCGCGCACGGAUGCUGGCGUAAUGGCGCCUAGCGACCCGUCUUGAAACACGGACCAAGGAGUUGACCUAGCGCGCGAGUGUACGGGUGUCAAGCCCCUGCGCGCAGUGAAAGCAAACGCUGGUGGGAGCCUUCGGGCGCACCAUCGACCGAUCCUGAUGCUCCGCGGAUGGAUUUGAGUAGGAGCGUGCUGGGUCUGACCCGAAAGAAGGUGAACUAUGCAUGGGUAGGGUGAAGCCAGAGGAAACUCUGGUGGAGGCUCGCAGCGGUUCUGACGUGCAAAUCGAUCGUCAAACCUGUGCAUGGGGGCCAAAGACCAAUCGA
rnacentral:rRNA from 1 species